UUCCGGUUGAUCCUGCCGGAGGCGACCGCUAUUGGAGUUCGAUUAAGCCAUGCGAGUAGAAAGAAGUUAGAUUCUUUGCAUACUGCUCAGUAACACGUGGAUAACCUGCCCUACACUGGGGGAUAAUCUCGGGAAACUGAGCAUAAUACCCCAUAGACCACUACGCCUGGAACGGUGAGUGGUUGAAAGCUCAGGCGGUGUGGGAUGGGUCUGCGGCGUAUCAGGUCGUAGGGGGUGUAAUGGACCUCCUAGCCAUCGACGCGUACGGGUUGUGGGAGCAAUAGCCCGGAGACGGAUUCUGAGACACGAAUCCGGACCCUACGGGGUGCAGCAGGCGCGAAAACUUCACACUGCAGGAAACUGUGAUGAGGGAACUCCAAGUGACUGCACAAUGUGUAGCCUUUUCUUGAAUCUUAAUAGUUCUUGGAAUAAGGGCUGGGAAAGACCGGUGCCAGCCGCCGCGGUAAUACCGGCAGCUCAAGUGGUCGUCGCUUUUAUUGGGCCUAAAACGUCCGUAGCCUGUUUGGUAAAUCUGUGGGUAAAUCAACAAGCUUAACUCGUUGAAUUCUGCAGAGACUGCCAGACCAGGGACCGGGAGAGGUAUGAGGUACUCUGGGGGUAGGGGUAAAAUCCUGUCAUCCUCAGAGGACCACCUGUUGCGAAGGCGUCAUACUGGAACGGAUCCGACGGUCAGGGACGAAGCCUAGGGGCACGAACCGGAUUAGAUACCCGGGUAGUCCUAGGUGUAAACGCUGUGGAUUUGGUGUGUGGGGUCCGCAAUGGGCCCCAUGUGCCGGAGUGAAGAUGUUAAGUUCACUGCCUGGGGAGUACGGUCGCAAGGCUGAAACUUUAAGGAAUUGGCGGGGCAGCAC
rnacentral:rRNA from 1 species